CUCCUACGGGAGGCAGCAGUGAGGAAUAUUGGUCAAUGGGCGAGAGCCUGAACCAGCCAAGUCGCGUGAAGGACGACGGUUCUAUGGAUUGUAAACUUCUUUUGUAGAGGAAUAAUGGCAGCUACGCGUAGCUGAGAUGCAUGUACUCUACGAAUAAGUAUCGGCUAACUCCGUGCCAGCAGCCGCGGUAAUACGGAGGAUACGAGCGUUAUCCGGAAUUAUUGGGUUUAAAGGGUGCGUAGGUGGCGUAUUAAGUCAGUGGUGAAAAGCUGCAGCUCAACUGUAGUCUUGCCGUUGAAACUGAUAUGCUAGAGAGGAGACGAGGUAUGCGGAAUGUGUGGUGUAGCGGUGAAAUGCAUAGAUAUCACACAGAACGCCGAUUGCGAAAGCAGCGUACCAGGCUCCGUCUGACACUGAAGCACGAAAGCGUGGGGAUCAAACAGGAUUAGAUACCCUGGUAGUCCACGCAGUAAACGAUGAAUACUAGAUUUUUGCGAUAUAGUGUAAGAGUCUAAGCGAAAGCGAUAAGUAUUCCACCUGGGGAGUACGCCGGCAACGGUGAAACUCAAAGGAAUUGACGGGGGCCCGCACAAGCGGAGGAACAUGUGGUUUAAUUCGAUGAUACGCGAGGAACCUUACCCGGGAUUGAAAUUUAGAUGGUGGCAGAUGAGAGUUUGCUUUCCUUCGGGACAUCUAAGUAGGUGCUGCAUGGUUGUCGUCAGCUCGUGCCGUGAGGUGUCGGCUUAAGUGCCAUAACGAGCGCAACCCGCGUCGAUAGUUACUAACAGGUCAUGCUGAGGACUCUAUCGAGACAGCCGUCGUAAGACGAGAGGAAGGGGCGGAUGACGUCAAAUCAGCACGGCCCUUACAUCCGGGGCGACACACGUGUUACAAUGGCAGGGACAAAGGGAAGCGACAUGGUGACAUGAAGCGGAUCUCCAAACCCUGUCCCAGUUCGGAUCGGAGUCUGCAACUCGACUCCGUGAAGCUGGAUUCGCUAGUAAUCGCGCAUCAGCCAUGGCGCGGUGAAUACGUUCCCGGGCCUUGUACACACCGC
rnacentral:rRNA from 1 species